GACGAACGCUGGCGGCGUGCUUAACACAUGCAAGUCGAACGAGGAGCGCCGGACGCUUGCUUCUCUCAAUCUUAGUGGCUAACGGGUGGGUAACGCGUACUCAACCUGCCCUUCAAAGGGGGACUAAAGCCGGAAACGACUGCUGAUCCCACAUUCUAUCUAACCUGGACAUCGAGGCUAGAUGAUAGGUAGCCUGUACGUUUAAAGCAUCACAGGGGGAGGGUCCAUCGAUUGAUUGGCUGGAUGGUGGGGUAACCGCCCACCAAGGCGAUGAUCAGUAGCAGGUCUGAGAGGAGGAGCGGCCACACUGGGACGGAGACACGGCCCAGACCCCUAGGGGUGGCAGCAGUGGCGAACUCUCCGGGAAGGAAGAAAGGCUGACGGAGCAACGCCGCGCGAGUGAUGACGGCCGUCGGGUUGUAAAGCUCUGGUAAGCGGGACGAAAGGCAUUCUUGCGAAUAGUGAGAAGGAUUGACGGUACCGGAAUAGAAAGCCACGGCUAACUACGUG
rnacentral:rRNA from 1 species